UUAACUUGGCGAUAUGACGUCAACUUAGUCAAACAACUUUGUGCGCCAACAGUGCAUCUGAGCAACUGGAACAGUACAUUAAAUAGGCGCUAUUAUAUGAACAAAAGAGAACAACCGCAAAAAGAAAAAAAACUACCGCUAGUUCUAACGUGGUCUUAUUCUUGUCCUCGUUCCCGCGCACUGUUUCUUCAUGCCUUCAAGACAAAAGAACUCUACCAAAUGAAGUUGUUGCUAGCACAACAAGAACUGCGUUUUAGAGCAACUGUUCUCUCUGUAGCACGCUUGUAGGUUCUUAUUUGAUUGCGGCAUCAGCCAAUCUCAUAAGAAAGCGUGGAAUCCUUUGACAGCCAUGAUGACACUGGUCACUAUUCUGUGCUUGGUCCUAUCGUGUCCUAUGGUUUAUACAUAUUCAGAAUGGUGUAACAAUGCGUACAAUAAUCGCCUGGAACGGGCCAUUGAUAGUGCGCUGCAUGACGUCCAAGAAGAGCACGUCUCAGAGAUGGAAGCUGAAGGCCCCGGCCCAUACCCUUUAGGCUUCGACGGAUACACUGUCAUCGGUCUUGGUGCACUGCGACGCCAUGGGGACCUCCGCACCAUGUGCGAAAACAAAAC